rnacentral:misc_RNA from 1 species
GUUAAAAUAGCUUGCCUUGAAGUAGCCUUGUGGCAUAGAUAGCAAGUCCUACAGAGAGAGGGCCUUUGGUUCAGUUUCUCAAUUACAUCGAGCAAUCCGUUGAUUCCACUAUUGGAAGUGCUGUUAUGAUCGAUUUGGCUUUUCCUCUUCAUUAAUAGCCUGGGAACUGAGAUUAUUAAUCAGAGUAUGCCAGGUCCGUCUUUGACCGGUUCGGGUUCGGGACUCGUUCUAUG